GGCCAUAGCUCAGUGGUAGAGAACAUGUUUUGCAUGCAGAAACUCUCAGGUUCAAUUCCUGGCAUCACCA